GAUGAAGAACGUAGCGAAAUGCGAUACUUGGUGUGAAUUGCAGAAUCCCGUGAACCAUCGAGUCUUUGAACGCAAGUUGCGCCCGAAGCCAUUAGGCCGAGGGCACGCCUGCCUGGGCGUCACACGUCGUUGCCCCCCCAUCUACUCCUUCGGGAUUGCGGGGGGUGGAUGAUGGCCUCCCGUGCGCCUCGUCGCGCGGUUGGCAUAAAUGCCAAGUCCUCGGCGACGCACGCCACGACAAUCGGUGGUUGCGAAACCUCGGUUGCCCGUCGUGUGCGGUCGUCGCGCAUCGAGGGCUCGAAAAAAUUGUCGGGCUCCGGCUCGGCUUUCAACGCGACCCCAGGUCAGGCGGGGUUACCCGCUGAAUUUAAGCAUAUCAAUAAGCGGAGGA
rnacentral:misc_RNA from 1 species